CGGGUGGUAAUGCCGGAUGCUCCAUCACACUGCAUGGUGUGUUGGGAAAGCCUUUGCGGCAUGGGAUGGGGUCGCGUCCUAUCAGCUUGAUGGCGGGGUAACGGCCCACCAUGGCUUCGACGGGUAGCCGGCCUGAGAGGGCGACCGGCCACAUUGGGACUGAGAUACGGCCCAGACUCCUACGGGAGGCAGCAGUGGGGAAUAUUGCACAAUGGGCGCAAGCCUGAUGCAGCGACGCCGCGUGAGGGAUGGAGGCCUUCGGGUUGUAAACCUCUUUUGUUAGGGAGCAAGGCAUUUUGUGUUGAGUGUACCUUUCGAAUAAGCACCGGCUAACUACGUGCCAGCAGCCGCGGUAAUACGUAGGGUGCAAGCGUUAUCCGGAAUUAUUGGGCGUAAAGGGCUCGUAGGCGGUUCGUCGCGUCCGGUGUGAAAGUCCAUCGCUUAACGGUGGAUCCGCGCCGGGUACGGGCGGGCUUGAGUGCGGUAGGGGAGACUGGAAUUCCCGGUGUAACGGUGGAAUGUGUAGAUAUC
rnacentral:rRNA from 1 species